UCUACUACUUUUAGUGUGCUGACUUGGUGAGAGCAAGCAAGAGUGUGUCUACCAGGGCUGGGAAUGGCACUCCCGCUCCAAGUGUAGACAUACCCACAGGUCUCUAGCCCCUCCCCACUGGUUCAAUCAGCAUAAGUUUGUUUGAGGGAGGGGCUUCUUCUAUAAAUGGCUUGUCCUCCAUGUUGGUUUUUCUGCACAAGCCAAACAGCGGGCCUGAGGCAGAGUGGAGCCGUGAGGACAUGACCUGAGCAGCUGAACUGUCCGCUGAGAAGCAGCCUCAGAAACCCUGAGAAGAAGAUUCAGAAGAUGGAGUGGGACUUAAUGACAGCGGAGCAAGGCACUCUCACUAUUUUACAGCCAGAGGCUUUCCUAGACACCUUCCAGCUGAACGCUUUACUCCUAGUUUGUUACAAGAUCCCCAUUUUUGGAGACAAGCUGCUUUCAAGACCAGUAUGAGGGCCUUUUCUCAGACUGAGGAUGGAAAGUACAAAUGUGUUAUUCAUUAAGUCCUGUGCUGUUACAUGAUCAGACGACCAAAUCACCACUUCACCCGUAGGGCACAUAAUCCAAAAAGGACGGGAGUCAGCGAAAAGAGAAAAAUAUGUGUUCUCAUUUCCAGGGUUCCAAAUCAAGGAAACAAUUGGUAAAUCUUUGAAAUAAUGAGGGUUUUAUUCAAGAGAGCUGCCUGAAAGCAGCUCUGAACUUGAGCUGAAACCAUUUGCCUGAGAUUUAAUGGAAUUACAUCUUACAGUACUCAGCCAAAGAACAGCAACUCCUGCUUUCCCUCCUCCAUAUGAUACCUGAAGGCUUACUAUGAGUUGGAUCCAAAGUCCACCGCAUUUUCAUUGACUUGACAGGCCUAUUGUUCCCUGCACUCUAGGGGCAACAAGUUUUGAUGCUGACUGAAAUAGUUCUGAGCUGGACAACACCUUACAAAUUGCCAGUUUACAUUCAUUUUUGUUUUUGAGGGAAUCCCCUGGGACUCCUUUAUUUGUUAUCACCCAGCACACACUUACUUCAAAGACUCAGUGGCACCGCAAGCUUUCUUCUUGGCUAAGAAUGCUGAACAAAAGGCAAAUGGGACAAUUACAAAAUAGAACCCAUAGCUGAAGCACAUGUUAAAGCUGGAUAAACCAUUUUUGAGGGCAGCUUUCUGGUCACGGGGUGCUACAGGAGUAGCCAGAUGGAUCAGAACGUUUCUCACUUUUUCUGCAACUCUGCUCCCACACUGGAAAUUCACUGGGUGGGAGAAAGAGGAGGGGCCUCUUGUCUCUCUAACAAACAACCUUCUACAAGAAUCAUGUGUUUUUCUUUGAUAUCAUUGAUCCACAACUAGUGCUUAAAAAGAUGUCCUAGUCCCGAAGGAAUUUAUACUGGGAUUUCUAGCUUUGGUAGUUUGAGAGAUAUCAGAGCUUAAAAAUCACAUCAUUCUUAAUGUUAUCUUGAUUCCCCCCGCCCCCACCGACACACACUUAAAUUCCAACGUGGUUCAACAAACAAAUAAAAUAGAGAUAAGUGCCACAGUUAUAGCACUGAUUUUGAGCUCUUGAGUUUUUCAACACAGUAGCUGCUAUGAAGCUAGUUUGACUUCAGAGGGACUUCUUGCUUGAGUAAGAUGAACAGAUCUGCCCUGUGAUCUGCAUCUCCUGAGCUGAGCCUAAUGAUGUUACUAUAGAGAGGGUUCUUUGCAACAACAGUGAGCUGGAGAGAGGGGAAAGUUAGACCUUGUAGUAGUCUAUUAAUCUAGGAGCUCUGGGGAUAUCUGCUGUGACUCUUUUAGCAGUAAGGGGUUGCUAGAUGGCAUUUCAGCAAAGAAAUGA